UUUUUUUUCCUGACUUACAUAAAACAAUAUUCAUUUCUAAUAAAUUCUCUAGAAAGUGAAUGCUUCCCUUGAGAUAACUGGGGACUCUGGGGUUUAGAUCAGUCAACCCAACACAUAUGGCCAAACUGAGGUGGUGGGGAGGCAGGGAAGGGGGAAGAGUAUCUCUUAGUGUAGGCUAACCAUGGCCAUUCCAUUGUCACCCCUAAGCCCUUUCUCAGCCAAGCCUCCAUGGAUCCCUACCCCAGGUUCUUGAUAGCACUGUUCCCCCACCCUCAUCUUUUCUUCCUCCACCCCCAGUUACUGCCUGAGGGCUUCUGUCCUGGCUUGUCACAACAUCAGGGAUGGAAAUCCUACUCCAGGCAACAUAAAAGGCACCAAGUUUCUACCAUCUGUCUGCCUAUAAUUCUUACCCCUCAUGUGAUUCUAAGAAACAGGCUUUUCCCAGUCCCCCUCUCUGUUUACUCCAGCUGACUUUUUCUUGAUUUGUCUCUGGGGGCAGGACAUCCUGAUACUAUAGCUUCAGAUAAAAGACAUGGGAUGUUCUUAGAAACCAGAAUUCUGUCCUACAAGAAUGCCUAGGGGUAUAUGGAAUCCCUAACCUGCUGGAGAAGGUCCCUUUGUUAUAGGGGAUCAGUGGGUGAGAAAGUGGCAAAUAACUAUUUUCCCCUUCAUAAGUCCCAAGUAUGUGGACGGGAAAUAUACUGUUUUGCCUCAGAUUUGCAUCAGCUAGGUUGGACCCAAGGGUCAGAAAUCCAGAAGAAAUAAUAUCAAAUCAUUUCACUGUAUUCAAGAGGAUUUCUCUUAUCUUCCCGAAUACUUGGGGGUGAAGCCAGACAGAGCUACUCAACUUGACAAAAAGACCGCUAAAAUGAUUGAAAACCCAUUUAAUUUUAUUUAGAGUCAUCUAAAGGUCUGCAUGGUUAGUUAGAUCUUGUUGAUCUGAAGGUGUAUAAGUACUGGGUUGCAAUUUUUUGCAAGUGAGGCACAUUUGUGCUGAUUUAUCCGUCAUAGGAUACUUUUCCUAGUUAUGCCGAUUGAGGCAUUUAUGAAAAACUGAAGUUUUUUGAUAAACAGUUUUUCCCUAAUUGAUUUUAAGAGGCUGUAAAACAAUAGCAGACGACAUAAUCUAUUUAUGCACCAACAUACUUUCUUUUGACUAAGAGUCAGAAGACAGUGCUUCUAGUACUAGCUAUGCUAGGAACCUCACAUUGAGCCUAGAGCGCAUGGCCCAGUAUCUUCCCUGCCUCUGGUUUGGGACCAGUGCUGAGAUCCCUUUAGCUCUAAUAUUCUGUGAUUCAAUCACUAGGAAGGGACUCAUUUGCAAAAUACAGCUUGUGUAGUUUGUGACUAUAGAAUCUCUGCUCACCUUUGAAUUCCCUCCUUGCCAUUUCUCCUCAUAUUUAAAAAAGGAAUGUCUACCAAAAGGUCCAGAAAAGAAGUCCAUUGACAGCAGCCAGUUUCCUAAAUUUAAUUCCAAAACCAAGAUCUCAUCCUACCCAGAUGCACCUCAACAGACUUCUCAGAGGGGGGAUAUGCACCUUCAGUUUCCCAGGACCAUAGCAAGGACUGGCACGUAUAUAGUAUGUUUCUAGGAUUUGGAGUAAAGGGCUCACCUCACCUCACCUCACCCUCACCCAUACUUUCUUGUGGACAAAAGGUCUCUAGCGCCAAAUAGGGCUGGGGGCAGGGAGCACACCCAGUGUUCUCCACCCACAAGAACUAACUAGCUUCACCACUUACUGCUGGAUGACAAAGAGCCAAUAACUUCAUUUCCCCAUGGCUUAGUUUUCUUACCCAUAAAAUGGGGAAAAAAAUAACUUAGUCGUCCAAGGUGGUUGUGAAGAGUAUAACUAAAACAGUUCACUCGAAAUAUCAAGAAGAGUGCUUGCCUGGCACAGAGUAAGAGUUCAAUAAAUACUAGCGCUGAUUGUCAUUACUACCUGUUUCCCCCGAGAGCUCAGCAAUGGUGGGAGGGAAACUCUGGUGUGGAUUUGAAGUCUUCCUUCAAGAGUUCCCCAGGGACAUGUUCCAACCUGUUUCUACAUGCAAAGGGAAGUGGCCUGAGCACAAACCUAGGUAAUAAGCAUCCAGAAGGAAAUGGGCCCAAGGGUGUUGGAAGCUAACUCUUCCCGGGGUGAGGGACUUAAUUCUGGGAUCCUACCUCAGGUGUCCAGGUAGUUCGGCAGAAGCCCACGCUCUAUCCCCACGUCGCCUGGCCUGUGAGGGUGUGGCCUUUGUGCUCAGGAGCUGCACCCGGAGUCUGCGCUGAGGGAAUCCCCGUUCCCGCUCCUUGGGGCUCUGG
rnacentral:lncRNA from 1 species